rnacentral:rRNA from 1 species
AUUAAGCCAUGCAUGUCUAUGCACAUGCCUUUAAACGGUAAAGCCGCGAAUGGCUCGGUAUAACAGCUACGGUUUAUUAGACGUUUUUGUCUACUUGGAUAACUGUGGUAAUUCUAGAGCUAAUACAUGCACGAAGUCUCGGACCUUACGGAAAGAGCGCAUUUAUUAGAUCAAAACUAAUCGGGCUUCGGUCCGUGUUUUGGUGACUCUGAAUAACUUAGUUGAUCGCAUGGUCUUGUACCGGCGACAUAUCUUUCAAAUGUCUGCCUUAUCAACUUUCGAUGGUAGGUUAUACGCCUACCAUGGUUAUAACGGGUAACGGAGAAUAAGGGUUCGACUCCGGAGAGGGAGCCUGAGAAAUGGCUACCACAUCCAAGGAAGGCAGCAGGCGCGCAAAUUACCCAAUUCCAGUACGGAGAGGUAGUGACGAAAAAUAACGAGACAGUCCACACUGUGGCCUGUCAUCGGAAUGGGAACAAUUUAAAUCCUUUAUCGAGGAUCCAUUAGAGGGCAAGUCUGGUGCCAGCAGCCGCGGUAAUUCCAGCUCUAAUAGCGUAUACUAAAGUUGUUGUGGUUAAAACGCCCGUAGUUGAUUUUUCGGCAUUGGAGGAUGGUAGCUCGAAAGGGCUUCACUGUCUCUCUGUGCCUCUCUGCGAGUUUUCGGUCGGUGCCCUUAACCGGGUGUCGGCAGUGACUUGCGAGUUUACUUUGAAAAAAUUAGAGUGCUUAAAGCAGGCUUGAUGCUUGGAUAUAGUGCAUGGGAUAAUGGAAUAGGACUUUGGUCUUAUUUUGUUGGUUUUGAAGGCCGAAGUAAUGAUUAAGAGGAACGGCCGGGGGCAUUCGUAUUGUUGCGCUAGAGGUGAAAU